rnacentral:tRNA from 1 species
GGUGCGGUAGCUCAGUCAGGUAGAGCAUCGGGCUCAUAACCCGAGGGUCGCUGGUUCAAAUCCAGCCUCGCACCA